rnacentral:rRNA from 1 species
CCGAAUGGGGAAACCCACCUGCUUGCAGGUAUCGUUAACUGAAUACAUAGGUUAACGAGGCGAACGCGGAGAACUGAAACAUCUAAGUACCCGUAGGAAAAGAAAUCAACCGAGAUUCCGAUAGUAGCGGCGAGCGAAAUCGGAACAGCCCUUAAGCUUAUUAUGUGUUAAUGGAAGGCUCUGGAAAGUGCCACGAUACAGGGUGAUAGUCCCGUACAUGAAAACGCAUUUUAAGUGAAAUCGAGUAGGUCGGAGCACGUGAAACUUUGACUGAAUAUAGGUGGACCAUCAUCUAAGGCUAAAUACUCCC